GGAAUAUUCCACAAUGGGCGAAAGCCUGAUGGAGCGACGCCGCGUGAGUGAAGAAGGGCUUCGGCUCGUAAAGCUCUUUUCUUGAGGACGAAUGGUCUAUUAGAUAGGCAGAGACGGUACUUGGGGAAUAAGCCACGGCUAACUACGUGCCAGCAGCCGCGGUAAUACGUAGGUGGCAAGCGUUGUCCGGAAUUAUUGGGCGUAAAGGGAGCGCAGGCGGGGCGACAAGUCCAAAUUAAAAGUGCAGGAGUAAUGUCUGUGAUGGUUUGGAAACUGUUGUUCUUGAGAGCAGGAGAGGCAAGCGGAAUUCCCAGUGUAGCGGUGAAAUGCGUAGAUAUUGGGAGGAACACCAGUGGCGAAGGCGGCUUGCUGGACUGUGUCUGACGCUGAGGCUCGAAAGCCAGGGUAGCAAACG
rnacentral:rRNA from 1 species